ensembl:lncRNA
AUGAACUAGAAUACAGUAUAUACAUAUGAAGUGGACAGCAGUAGUUAUAUAGGAUGAACCAGGACUAGAAUACAGUAUAUAUGAAGUGGACAGCAGUAGUUAUAUAGGAUGAACUAGAAUACAGUAUAUAUGAAGUGGACAGCAGUAGUUAUAUAGGAUGGGUAAAAUAGUAUGUAAACAUUAUUAAAGUGAUCUAUGACUCUGUGUACAGAGGGCAGCAGACUCUAAGGUGCAGGCUAGAGUACCGGGUGGUGCAGGGUAGAGUACCGGGUGGUGCAGGGUAGAGUACCGGGUGGUGCAGGGUAGAGUACCGGGUGGUGCAGGGUAGAGUACCGGGUGGUGCAGGGUAGAGUACCGGGUGGUGCAGGGUAGAGUACCGGGUGGUGCAGGGUAGAGUACCGGGUGGUGCAGGGUAUAGUACCGGGUGGUGCAGGGUAUAGUACCGGGUGGUGCAGGGUAGAGUACCGGGUGGUGCAGGGUAGAGUACCGGGUGGUGCAGGGUAGAGUACCGGGUGGUGCAGGAUAGUGUACCGGGUGGUGCAGGGUAGUGUACCGGGUGGGAGCAGGGUAGUGUACCGGGUGGUGCAGGGUAGUGUUACCGGGUGGUGCAGGGUAGUGUACCGGGUGGGGUAGGGUAGAGUACCGGGUGGUGUAGGGUCGUGUUCCCGGGUGGUGCAGGGUAGUGUAGGUGGGAGCAGGGUAGAGUACCGGGUGGUGUAGGGUAGUGUACCGGGUGGUGUAGGGUAGUGUUCCCGGUGGUGCAGGGUAGUGUUCCCGGGUGGGAGCAGGGUAGAGUACCGGGUGGUGCAGGGUAGUGUACCGGGUGGUAGCAGGGUAGUGUACCGGUGGUAGCAGGGUAGUGUACCGGGUGGUAGCAGGGUAGAGUACCGGGUGGUGCAGCCUAGAGUACCGGGUCGGAGCCGGCUGUUAACAGUGACUAAAGAUCAGCGUUGGGUACUGGACAGCGGCUGGCUAGUGGUGACUAUUUAACAGUCUGAUGGAGUGUGUGUGUGUGUGUGUGUGUGUGUGUGACAGAGUAACAAAUCAUGAAUGAUAAAAGUAUGAUAUUUGUUCAAAGUUUAUAUUUUCACGUUGAAGGAGUCAAUUUUCAAAGACGGUUCCAAAAAAUGUUUUAAAAAUCUAUGUUUAUGUCGGGAUCAGAUGACAAGCUGCUGGUCUGUCCAGGGGGAGUGUCCGGUUCACUGGAGUCAGGGGGCGUGUCCGGCUGGAGCCAGGGGGCGUGUCCGGCUGGAGCCAGGGGGCGUGUCUGGACGGAGCCGGGGGGCGUGUCCGGCUGGAGCCAGGGGGCGUGUCCUGCUGGAGCCAGGGGUGUGUCCGGCUGGAGCCAGGGGUGGAGUAACAUCUCGUCCAGAGUGGGCCGUCCUCGGGGUCGCUUCGCCAGACACCUCCUCAACAGAUCCACACAGUCUGGAGAACAAAGGAGAGAGAACAAGUCUGUCUGUCUGUCUGUGUAUUCCUCUGUCUGUCUGU